AUGAGGCAGUGCGGCAGACAGUCAGUGUGUGUCCGUCGGGCAGAGAACGACUCAAGGAGAGAGCUUGAAGACAGAUAGUUUUAGUUGGUCACGCGUUUGAACACCGCGAGACGCUUUGACUUGACUUCGGGUUAAGUGACCUCUGACAAGAUUAUGCCGACUUAAAUUACCUGGUAGCAAUGUAAGAAGAAGAGUAUGACCUUAAUAAUCACAAAUGGGCGACAUGGAAUGCGAGAUUGGAAUACACCGGAGGAGCACAGCGAGGCACGCAAACUACAGGAUGCAACGCACGACGACUGACAUCUCCGCCAGAACUUUUGCUUCUUUACCAACAAUUUCUUCGAUUAACCCAUCACCUGCUUUAACGUUAAACACAUCAGUGAUUAUAGUGUGUGUUCGUUCCGCCUGGGUAUCAAUAAAAAUAUUUU